rnacentral:pre_miRNA from 1 species
GGCUGUGAUUGUCCAAACGCAAUUCUUGUAUUUUCUACCAAGGACUGUGUAUGGACAUCAUCGCU